rnacentral:rRNA from 1 species
UACGAAGGGGGCUAGCGUUGCUCGGAAUCACUGGGCGUAAAGGGAGCGUAGGCGGACAUUUAAGUCAGGGGUGAAAUCCCGGAGCUCAACUCCGGAACUGCCUUUGAUACUGGGUGUCUUGAGUGUGAGAGAGGUGAGUGGAACUCCGAGUGUAGAGGUGAAAUUCGUAGAUAUUCGGAAGAACACCAGUGGCGAAGGCGACUCACUAGCUCAUUACUGACGCUGAGGCUCGAAAGCGUGGGGAGCAAACAGG